rnacentral:rRNA from 1 species
UCCCGGUCUAAGCCCAGAGUCCCUCCCCCUUCGCUCGCCUCCCUCCCUCCCGUGAAUAGGUCCCAGCCGCCGCCGCCGCCGCGCCCGCCGGCAUCUCCCUUCCUCUCCCCUGAUCCGUCCUUCCGCAGGUUGCGCGAUGCUUGCCCUGUCCAGGACGCUCGCGAGGCGGCUCUUCUCCACCGCCGCCGCGCCCGAGGGCGCCGCCGCCGCCGCCUCCACGUCGCUGGCGAGGAAGCCGCAGAACCCCCUCGAGGAGUUCUUCGAGGUCGAGCGGAGCACCCAGGACGACCAGCCCGCGCCCCACUACGGUCGUGGCUGGAAGGCUUCUGAACUGCGCCUCAAGUCCUGGGACGACCUUCAUAAGUUGUGGUAUGUCCUGCUAAAGGAGAAGAACAUGCUCAUGUCCCAACGCCAGAUGCUGGCUUCAGAGAGCAUGCGUUUCCCAAACCCGGAGCGCAUUUCCAAGGUAAGGAGAUCGAUGUGCCGGAUCAAGCACGUGCUGACGGAGCGGGCCAUAGCGGACCCUGACCCGAGGAGGACUGCGGAGAUGAAGCGGAUGAUCAACGCCAUGUGACCGACCCGCGCCGCGCCGUGCUUCUACUGUCCGUAAGCAGCAGCCGUAGCAGCAUUAGCAUCUAUCUAGUGGAAAGAACGAAUUUGCUCGCUUUUCCUUCUUGGGUUGUAUGCCUCCCCCCGUGAGAUGCAUAAGACCAGCAAUCCUUGAGACGCCGUCGCCCCCGACAGUCCCACGGAUGGGCGAACGUCAAUGGACUUGUGUUCGAAUAAUCGCAACCGUCCUUUUUUUCUUUUGCAUGUGUGUGUGUGUGUGUGUGUGGCAAAGUACCAUCCGGCUGUUUGUUUGCACAAUGUGUUAUGGAUGUCCAUUGGUUUCAUUUCUGGCUCUGCGUAGCCAGAGCUUGGUUUUCAGUCGGCCAUUCAUUCAUU